CCUUGUAAUGUGUAACAAGAUUCAACAAGGAAAAACUUAUUCUCUCUACAAGGCCGUUGAUUUUGGCCCAGAGCAUGCAUGCAUGUAUGUUGUAAGAAAGAGCGCACACACACACACUCACACACACAAUACAAGUGUAGGUACCUGAUGAGUAUGGGGUAGCGUAGGGUUUUUGAUGAAGUAGUCCCCCACACACUGAGUCGGUAAUCGACCUCGUGUCGUCGCUCGUCCACCACCGUGUAGCCUUGGGCGAUCACUCGAUUGGCCGCCAUCGCUUGAUUUCCCUCUCUCUCUCUCUUUCUCUUCCUCUCCUUCUCUCUCUCACACACACUCUUUCUCUCUCACACACACGCUCACACAGACUCUCUCUCUCACACAUNN
rnacentral:lncRNA from 1 species